CAUCAUCGGGGGUGGGGAUCCCGUCUUACCCUCCAAUCUUCUCCACUCUACUCCAGACAGCCUUGCCUCUGAAAGCUGAGCGUGCAGAGGAAGUGCUCACUACAGACUGUGAAAUCCUCUGCCCCGCGAUGGGGUGAAGGCAGGAGGAGAAGUGUGGCCCAGUAACAGAUGGAAGGCCAGAGCGGACAGCUGCAUUUGCUGAGGACUGCUCCUGGGGCCGCGCCUGGCUCAGCUGGCAGCCCUUGGACGUCUGGAUCCCCGAGAAGACAAAGCAGGCAUGGUCUCCCCCCAGUCAUCUGAGAGUCUCACUGGAUGCCUGCUGGACCUGGUCUGAGCCUCCAGGACAACUGGCCAUCUCAGUCACCAAGGAGUGCACCAGAAGACCAGACUAAGCUGCAGCCCAGAUUCCGGACUUCCUCAGGGCUCAGUCCAGCUGCUACCUCUGACUGGCCGCACCCAACCGGAGAAAACCCAGCAUGCAGUCCAAAAAGCGACCAAAGACAGAGGAGGAUAUUUGGAAGGUCAAAGGGGACUCUGCUACUGAGUAGGGACCCUCCUGCUCUCCUCCUCUCCUACUGAGUUCACAUCCCGGCUCCACCACUUACGAGCUGUGUGAAUUUGGGCAAGUUUCUUAAACUCU